CGAGUCUAUGGACUUCGGUCCAUGGCGGACGGCUCAGUAACACGUGGUUAACCCACCCUUAGGUGGGGGAUAACCUUGGGAAACUGAGGAUAAUACCCCAUAGGAAAAGAGGUUUGGAAUAAUCCUUUUCUGAAAGGACAUCCGCCUAAGGAUGGGACUGCGUCUGAUUAGGUAGUUGGUGGGGUAAUGGCCCACCAAGCCUACGAUCAGUACGGGCCUUGAGAGAGGGAGCCCGGAGAUGGGGACUGAGACACGGCCCCAGGCCCUACGGGGCGCAGCAGGCGCGAAACCUCCACAAUGCACGAAAGUGCGAUGGGGGAAUCCCAAGUGCCUAUGUAAAACAUAGGCUUUUCCCAAGUUUAAACAACUUGGGGAAUAAGGGCUGGGCAAGUCCGGUGCCAGCAGCCG
rnacentral:rRNA from 1 species